rnacentral:lncRNA from 1 species
CUCAGUUAACCUUUACGAACACCACAGCAGCGGCCGUUCAAUUAUAUAUCAUCCCUGCCUAAGAGCAUACUAUGGUGUCACACGAUUCGAGUCACGAGUCCCUAUGGCUGAAGUCCGAGUCCCAGUGCUCGAGUCCUGGUCCAUGUGCUCAAGUCUGAGUAACUAGGUCCAAAUUAACCCAAAAUAAAGAUAUUUACCCAGUCAGAUGUAGUGUAGUGGCAAGAGGCGUUAUUUACCCAGUCAGACAUAGAGGAGUUAUUUACCCAGUCAGAUAUAGAGGAGUUAUUUACCCAGUCAGAUAUAGAGGAGUUAUUUACCCAGUCAGAUAUAGAGGAGUUACUUACCCAGUCAGAUAUAGAGGAGUUAUUUACCCAGUCAGAUAUAGAGGAGUCAUUUACCCAGUCAGAUAUAGAGGAGUCAUUUACCCAGUCAGAUAUAGAGGAGUCAUUUACCCAGUCAGAUAUAGAGGAGUUAUUAACCCAGUCAGAUAUAGAGGAGUUAUUUACCCAGUCAGAUAUAGAGGAGUUAUUCACCCAGUCAGAUAUAGAGGAAGGAUUUAUUCACCCAGUCAGAUAUAGAGGAGUUAUUUACCCAGUCAGAUAUAGAGGAGUUAUUUACCCAGUCAGAUAUAGAGGAGUUAUUUACCCAGUCAGAUAUAGAGGAGUUAUUUACCCAGUCAGAUAUAGAGGAGUUAUUCACCCAGUCAGAUAUAGAGGAGUUAUUUACCCAGUCAGAUAUAGAGUAGUUAUUUACCCAGUCAGAUAUAGAGGAGUUAUUUACCCAGUCAGAUAUAGAGGAGUUAUUUACCCAGUCAGAUAUAGAGGAGUUAUUCACCCAGUCAGAUAUAGAGGAGUUAUUUACCCAGUCAGAUAUAGAGGAGUUAUUUACCCAGUCAGAUAUAGAGGAGUUAUUAACCCAGUCAGAUAUAGAGGAGUUAUUAACCCAGUCAGAUAUAGAGGAGUUAUUUACCCAGUCAGAUAUAGAGGAGUUAUUUACCCAGUCAGAUAUAGAGGAGUUAUUAACCCAGUCAGAUAUAGAGGAGUUAUUAACCCAGUCAGAUAUAAAGGAGUUAUUUAGUGGCAAGAGGGAUUUAGUCAAUAUGUUAU